rnacentral:rRNA from 1 species
UACGGAGGGGGCUAGCGUUGUCCGGAUUUAUUGGGCGUAAAGAGCGUGUCGGCGGCCAGGUAGGUCCGGUGUGAAAACUCGAGGCUUAACCUCGAGAUGUCAUCGGAAACCAUCUGGCUAGAGUCCGGAAGAGGAAAGUGGAAUUCCUAGUGUAGAGGUGAAAUUCGUAGAUAUUAGGAAGAACACCAGUGGCGAAGGCGGCUCACUGGCUCGGUACUGACGCUGAGGCGCGAAAGCGUGGGGAGCAAACAGG